AGGGCACCACCAGGAGUGGAGCCUGCGGCUUAAUUUGACUCAACACGGGGAAGCUUACCCGGCCUGGACACUGGAAGGAUUGACAGAUUGAGAGCUCUUUCUUGAUUCAGUGGGUGGUGGUGCAUGGCCGUUCUUAGUUGGUGGAGCGAUUUGUCUGGUUAAUUCCGACAACGAACGAGACUCUAGCCUAUUAAAUAGGCUCCCGGCUUUUAAACGCCGGGAGGACUUCUUAGAGGGACAGGUGGCGGUUCAGCCGCACGAAAGAGAGCAGUAACAGGUCUGUGAUGCCCUUUGUUGUCCGGGGCCGCACGCGCGCUACACUGAAGAGAUCAGCGUGCUUUAUGUUCCUGCUCCGACCGGAGUGGGGAACCCAGUGAACCUUCUUCGUGAUUGGGAUAGAAGAUUGUAAUUAUUCUUCUUGAACGAGGAAUUCCCAGUAAAUGCGAGUCAUAAGCUCGCGUUGAUUACGUCCCUGCCCUUUGUACACACCGCCCGUCGCUACUACCGAUUGAACGAUUU
rnacentral:rRNA from 1 species